rnacentral:lncRNA from 1 species
GCAGCGCACGGCAGCAGCACAACCUUCACUUGGUCGCGCCACCACCGUGCCUACUGCUCCGCUUCUCUCCACGCCGCCAGCCCCAUUUCCGGUUAGUCGCAUUCCGGCAACACUAUAAAAUUGGGUAAAAUUUUAAGAUUUGUGAAUGAAAUUAGCUAAUUUAUUUAGUUAAGUUAGUUUUAGUGAAUAAAAGUAAUGGUUUGUAGUUAAUUCAGUUAGUCAAGUUAGUGUUAGUGUUAGUAAUUAGUGUUAGUAAUUAAUUAGUUAAGUUAGUUGUAGUUAAUUGUUUGUAGCUAGUUUAAUUAAUUAAGCUAGUGUUAGUAAUAUUAGUCAAUUAAAUUAAUUUUAUUAUUUGAAGUUAAUUAAUUUAGUAAUAUUAGAUAAUGAAAUUAAUGUUAUUAUCAUUUGUAAUUAAUUAAUCUAGCUAAGUUAAUGUUAGUUAAUUAAAUUAAUCUUAUUAUUUGUAGUUAAUUAAUGUAGUUAAUUUAAAUUGGUAAAUGUGAGUAGUUAAUAGCUUUAUAAUUUUAUUGUUGAUUUAGUUAAGGUAGUUUAGAUAUAAUGUUAUUGUAAUGUAUAAUUUUAAUUGUGUGGUGAUGUUGAAGAUUGAUGAAGGAUGGGAAAUUUGAUUGAUUGACUGCCCGACGGAUGGGCUGUGUGGUUUGGAAAAUAUUAGAUAUAUUGUUGAUAUUUUAACAGGUGGAUAGUCCAAUUUUUAGGGGAGAUGCUGCCGAAAUUUCGGUAGAAAAUAAAAUGAAUUUCGGUAAAAAAAAAGAAAAAAAAAGAAAAAAAAAUAAAAAAUAAAUAAUAAAUAAAUUUCGGUAGGAAAUAAAAUACAAGUUAGAAGGAAGUAAAUUAUUAUAGAAAAGAAAUUAUAUUACCAUAUUUAAUUACGUAGAGAAGUUAGAAUAUAAAAUAAAAUUUUUUAGAGUGGUGAAUAAAUAUUUUGUCUGAUAGAAUUAUUCUUUUUGUGUCGUUCUUGUAAUUUCUUAGAUCGCCCGGGUCCAUCUAGUGCUCCUCCAGGACAGAAUCAAAGCUAGAAUCUUGCUCUCCAUCACUGUGAGUAAUAAUGAAUAAUGCACAUCAACACUGCAUCUGCAUAACACUUAUUUAUAAACAUUACAUUUUUUUUCAUAUUUACAACAUAUUAUGAGUAUUUUAUCAUAUAUAUAUUAUGUUUCGAUCAUUAUAAUUAUACUUAUAUAAUUGUGCAUUUGGAUGAAUCGUUUGAUUAUCUGUGCUGUGACUAUACUGUGAUUUGUUUGUGUGGAAUUUGAAUGAAGUGGGUCACCACGGGUUUGUGAGAAUGGUAUAUGUGAUAUGGAUCCUGAAAAUGAUAUGAAAUUUAGCCGGGUAAAUGGGAGAUCGGCGCCCCCGUGUGCACCACUGCUUUGAUCUGU